UAGGGAGGAGCAGGUGCGGAGACAGUGAAAUUGUAAAAUCUGAUGGAGUUCCUUGAAGUCAAUAUAAGUUAAUUUUGUUUGAUAGGCAGUGACUAGGCAUUUUGAGAAGUUUGAAAAGUUUCCAGAAAGGGAUUUGGGCAGUAGCAUAGAAUACAGACUGAAGGUUGAAGAUGCUGGAGGCAGAGAGACCAGUGAGGAGACUUAAAUGUUUCACUGUGAUAUAAUGACAGAUUGACCUAUUUGGGUUGGAAACAAAGGACAGAUCCAGGAAUCAUUUUAGGAAAAGAAGCAAUAGGAUUUAGCAAUUGAUUGAAUGUAAGAGAUGAAAGAAAUUUGUUGAGCCUGUUACUAAGAUUGCUGCCUUUUGGAACAGGGAGGGAGAAUAGCAGUGUCACCAACAGAGAUGAGGAAGUUGGAAGUGGAAGAGGAUUUACAAGGAUGAGAAUUGCCAUUUGCACACUGAGUUUGGCCAUGUCAGUGUACCAUUUCAAGAUCAGCCUUGUGUCCUGCUGGAUUUUCUGGAUAUUUUUAUGAAAAAGAUACAAAUGAAUGUAUUUCAUUACCUUGUCUUCAUGGUGCAACCUGUGAAGAGCAUGCCAGUGGGUUCAUUUGCAAAUGUCAGAAAGGAUGGGCAGGACUCCUUUGUGAAGAGGACAUUGAUGAAUGCAGGUCCAACCCCUGUAUCCAUGGGAUUUGUGUCCAGAGUGGGCCUGGCUUUGGUUAUUCCUGCUUCUGUUCACCUGGAUAUGUGGGACGAAGCUGUGAAGUUAAUUACAAUGAUUGCCUACUACAAGCCUGCUCCACUGGGUUUCUUUGCAAUGAUGGAAUAAACGAUAUCACCUGUGUACCAGCUAGUGCCCAAAGGAGCAGUAGCACGUACACUGACAUGUCUGGAGUGACCCCUGCUGCAGAAAAUUCGAACUACAACUUUCCACCUGUACAGUCUAAAGGGCUCUGGGGUAAAAUGAUUGCAUCUGCUAUCCUUAAAAUUUGGAUGUCCUAGAGUAAGUUAGGGAAUAAAUGCACAAAG